ACGGACGAGGACGAGGACAAGUAAUUUCC
rnacentral:piRNA from 1 species